rnacentral:lncRNA from 1 species
AGAAACUCAACUCAAGUCUUUGAAAAUAAGGAGUCAAAAAGUGUUUAAAUUGAGCAUUUGCCAAUACAUCAGUAAAAGUGAGUUUUUCCUAAAGGUAAAAACGAACUUCCCAUCACGACAUGUGAGCAUUUACAGCGGUAACAAACUUAUUGGCAAGUUCAAAAAAACAAUGUUUCAAUGACUACAGACAAAAAAAAUUUCACCUGUUACCAAGGGUGAAGUUUUGAGGUGGAAAGGAUUGAGGGAGG